AAGUGCGAUCAUACCAGCACUAAUGCACCGGAUCCCAUCAGAACUCCGCAGUUAAGCGUGCUUAGGCGAAAGUAGUACUAGGAUGGGUGACUUCCUGAGUUUUCUCUUUCUAAAAAAUU
rfam:Arabis alpina cultivar Pajares Aa.chr7_contig_1054, whole genome shotgun sequence.